UACACAUCCAGCUCCAGAGCAAACAAGCGAAUAGUGUGUCCGUCCCCAGCGGCGCCGUUCCACACACGAGAGACUAGAGACAUCUCAUGUCCUGUCAUGGUCGGCCCCAGAGACACAUGCAGGAUGGCUGGAGUCCAGGCGUCCAGAGAGCGCGUCUGUCCUACAGUAUCGCACGUCACAGUAGCCCGCUUUCACUACUGCAGAACCAGCAGCUGCACUUACAGACUCUCGACCAGCUCUGGGAAUAAUAACCCAAGUCAUUAGCAAAGGACAAAGAGUCAGAGAUCAUGAACUAUGACUGCCAGUUUUAAAUAGCCCGUGUGUGUGUGAGAGUGUGCGAGUGAGUGAGUGAGUGAGUGUGUGUGUGUGAGAGAGAGAAGGACAGAGAGUGGGUGUGCACGUUCAUGAUCUUUGCCUAUAGACACCAGUAUGCUGAAACAGAUUUCCAUUUUCUCUCCGGCAAUUCCAUCACCAGUGCGCCAACCGACGAUUCCGUACAGUGGAAUGUGUGUGUGGGCGUGUGUGUUGCAUGUGUGGGUUUAAAAACACUUGUCAGGAUUUGCAAGCAGGGAGACGUGGAGGCGGACGUAAACG
rnacentral:lncRNA from 1 species